GACGAACGCUGGCGGCGUGCUUAACACAUGCAAGUCGAACGGAAAGGCCCUGCUUUUGUGGGGUGCUCGAGUGGCGAACGGGUGAGUAACACGUGAGUAACCUGCCUUUGACUUUGGGAUAACUUCAGGAAACUGGGGCUAAUACCGGAUAGGAGCUCCUGCUGCAUGGUGGGGGUUGGAAAGUUUCGGCGGUUGGGGAUGGACUCGCGGCUUAUCAGCCUGUUGGUGGGGUAGUGGCUUACCAAGGCUUUGACGGGUAGCCGGCCUGAGAGGUUGACCGGCCACAUUGGGACUGAGAUACGGCCCAGACUCCUACGGGAGGCAGCAGUGGGGAAUAUUGCACAAUGGGCGGAAGCCUGAUGCAGCAACGCCGCGUGCGGGAUGACGGCCUUCGGGUUGUAAACCGCUUUCGCCUGUGACGAAGCGUGAGUGACGGUAAUGGGUAAAGAAGCACCGGCUAACUACGUG
rnacentral:rRNA from 1 species